rnacentral:rRNA from 1 species
CUUGACGUUAGCGGCGGACGGGUAGUAACACGUGGGUAACCUACCUAUAAGACUGGGAUAACUUCGGGAAACCGGAGCUAAUACCGGAUAAUAUUUCGAACCGCAUGGUUCGAUAGUGAAAGGUGGUUUUGCUAUCACUUAUAGAUGGACCCGCGCCGUAUUAGCUAGUUGGUAAGGUAACGGCUUACCAAGGCGACGAUACGUAGCCGACCUGAGAGGGUGAUCGGCCACACUGUAACUGAGACACGGUCCAGACUCCUACGGGAGGCAGCAGGC